UAACGACUCUCGGCAACGGAUAUCUCGGCUCUCGCAUCGAUGAAGAACGCAGCAAAAUGCGAUACUUGGUGUGAAUUGCAGAAUCCCGUGAAUCAUCGAGUUUUUGAACGCAAGUUGCGCCCGAAGCCUUCCGGCCGAGGGCACGUCUGCCUGGGUGUCACGC
rnacentral:rRNA from 2 species